rnacentral:rRNA from 1 species
GUGCCGCAGCUAACGCAUUAAGCACUCCGCCUGGGGAGUACGACCGCAAGGUUGAAACUCAAAGGAAUUGACGGGGGCCCGCACAAGCGGUGGAGCAUGUGGUUUAAUUCGAAGCUACGCGAAGAACCUUACCAGGUCUUGACAUCUUGCGCCAACCCUAGAGAUAGGGCGUUUCCUUCGGGAACGCAAUGACAGGUGGUGCAUGGUCGUCGUCAGCUCGUGUCGUGAGAUGUUGGGUUAAGUCCCGCAACGAGCGCAACCCUUGUUACUAGUUGCCAGCAUUAAGUUGGGCACUCUAAUGAGACUGCCGGUGACAAACCGGAGGAAGGUGGGGAUGACGUCAAGUCAUCAUGCCCCUUAUGACCUGGGCUACACACGUGCUACAAUGGGCAGUACAACGAGAAGCAAGCCUGCGAAGGCAAGCGAAUCUCUGAAAGCUGUUCUCAGUUCGGACUGCAGUCUGCAACUCGACUGCACGAAGCUGGAAUCGCUAGUAAUCGCGGAUCAGCACGCCGCGGUGAAUACGUUCCCGGGCCUUGUACACACCGCCCGUCACACCAUGGGAGU